CCUACGGGGCGCAGCAGUGAGGGAUAUUGGUCAAUGGGGGAAACCCUGAACCAGCAACGCCGCGUGAGGGAAGACGGUUUUCGGAUUGUAAACCUCUGUCCUCUGUGAAGAUAAUGACGGUAGCAGAGGAGGAAGCUCCGGCUAACUACGUGCCAGCAGCCGCGGUAAUACGUAGGGAGCAAGCGUUGUCCGGAUUUACUGGGUGUAAAGGGUGCGUAGGCGGCCCUGCAAGUCAGAAGUGAAAUCCAUGGGCUUAACCCGUGAACUGCUCUUGAAACUGUAGGGCGCGAGGGAAGUAGAGGCAG
rnacentral:rRNA from 1 species